rnacentral:rRNA from 1 species
UGCCAUCCGCCGCGGUAAUACGUAAGUCGCAAGCGUUAUCCGGAUUCACUGGGCAUAAAGCGCACGUAGGCGGUUCGUUAAGUCGAAUGUGAAAGCCCCCGGCUCAACCGGGGAACUGCAUCCGAUACUGACGGGCUAGAGGACGGCAGGGGUAAGUGGAACUCCAGGUGGAACGGUGAAAUGUGUAGAUAUCUGGAGGAACACCGGUGGCGAAAGCGGCUUACUGAGCCGUCUCUGACGCUGAGGUGCGAAAGCCAGGGUAGCGAACGGGAUUAGAUA